UACGAAGGGAGCUAGCGUUGUUCGGAAUCACUGGGCGUAAAGCGCACGUAGUCGGAUUUGUCAGUCAGGGGUGAAAUCCCGGGGCUCAACCUCGGAACUGCCUUUGAUACAGCAAGUCUUGAGUUCGAGAGAGGUGGGUGGAAUUCCUAGUGUAGAGGUGAAAUUCGUAGAUAUUAGGAAGAACACCGGUGGCGAAGGCGGCCCACUGGCUCGAUACUGACGCUGAGGUGCGAAAGCUAGGGGAGCAAACGGG
rnacentral:rRNA from 1 species